GGGGUUGUGGCUCAGUGGUGGAGCACUCACCUUACACAUGUGAGACCCUGGGUUCGAUCCUCAGCACCACA
rnacentral:tRNA from 1 species